rnacentral:rRNA from 1 species
AACGCGAAGAACCUUACCUGGGCUCGAAAUGCAGGAGACCGGGGUAGAAAUAUCCCUUUCUCGCAAGAGACUGCUGUAUAGGUGCUGCAUGGCUGUCGUCAGCUCGUGUCGUGAGAUGUUGGGUUAAGUCCCGCAACGAGCGCAACCCUCAUCCCUAGUUGCCACCGGGUAAUGCCGAGCACUCUAGUGAAACCGCCCCGGAUAACGGGGAGGAAGGUGGGGAUGACGUCAAGUCCUCAUGGCCUUUAUGUCCAGGGCUACACACGUGCUACAAUGGUCGGUACAAACCGUCGCAAAGCUGCAAAGUGGAGCUAAUCGGAAAAAGCCGGCCUCAGUUCGGAUUGGAGUCUGCAACUCGACUCCAUGAAGCUGGAAUCGCUAGUAAUCGCAGAUCAGAACGCUGCGGUGAAUACGUUCCCGGGCCUUGUACACACCGCUACAGU